rnacentral:ncRNA from 1 species
UAUCUUUGCCGCCUGAUUCAAAGCGGAUCAGAUACAUAAUAAUCAUUUAAAGCAAUAUUGGCAUG